GAGUUUGAUCGUGGCUCAGGAUGAACGCUAGCGGCAGGCCUAAUACAUGCAAGUCGAGGGGCAGCAGGGAUAGCAAUAUUCGCUGGCGACCGGCGCACGGGUGCGUAACACGUAUACAAUCUGCCUUUAACAGGGGGAUAGCCCGGAGAAAUCCGGAUUAAUACCCCAUAACAAUUUGACUGGCAUCAGUUGAAUUUAAAAGCUCCGGCGGUUAAAGAUGAGUAUGCGUCUGAUUAGCUAGUUGGUGAGGUAACGGCUCACCAAGGCAACGAUCAGUAGGGGAUCUGAGAGGACUUAACCCCCACACGGAUACUGAGACACGGAUCCGACUCCUACGGGAGGCAGCAGUAAGGAAUAUUGGACAAUGCCCGCAAGGGUGAUCCAGCCAUGCCGCGUGCAGGAAGACGGCCCUAUGGGUUGUAAACUGCUUUUACACCGGAGAAAACCUCCCCUCGUGAGGGGAGCUGAUAGUAUGGUGAGAAUAAGCAUCGGCUAACUUCGUGCCAGCCGCCGCCGUAAUACC
rnacentral:rRNA from 1 species